GUGCCAGCCGCCGCGGUAAUACGGAGACUACGAGCGUUACUCGGAUUUACUGGGCGUAAAGGGUGCGUAGGCGGUCAGAUGUGUUAGGUGUGAAAGCCUGGGGCUUAACUCCAGAAUUGCGCCUAAAACUAUCUGACUAGAGCCUCGGAGAGGCAAGCGGAAUUCCUAGUGUAGCAGUGAAAUGCGUAGAUAUUAGGAGGAACACCGAAGGCGAAGGCAGCUUGCUGGACGAGAUCUGACGCUGAAGCACGAAAGCGUGGGGAGCAAAAGGGAUUAGAAACCCUGGUAGUCC
rnacentral:rRNA from 1 species